CCUACGGGGGGCAGCAGUGUGGAAUAUUGGUCAAUGGGAGAGAUCCUGAACCAGCCAAGCCGCGUGAGGGAAGACGGCCCUAUGGGUUGUAAACCUCUUUUGUCAGGGAACAAAGGCGGGGACGUGUCCCCGGAUGAGUGUGCCUGAAGAAAAAGCAUCGGCUAACUCCGUGCCAGCAGCCGCGGUAAUACGGAGGAUGCGAGCGUUAUCCGGAUUUAUUGGGUUUAAAGGGUGCGCAGGCGGUCUGUUAAGUCAGCGGUAAAAGCCCGGGGCUCAACCCCGGCCCGCCGGUGAAACUGGCAGUCUCGAGUUGGAGAGAAGUAUGCGGAAUGCGCGGUGUAGCGGUGAAAUGCAUAGAUAUCGCGCAGAACUCCGAUUGCGAAGGCAGCAUGCCGGCUCCACACUGACGCUGAGGCACGAAAGCGUGGGUAUCGAACAGGAUUAGAUACCCUAGUAGUC
rnacentral:rRNA from 1 species